ACGUAAACUACCAUUCCAAAGUCAAGUCUCCUGAUCAACUCAAAAGUCUCACGCCCCUCAUCCCCAACAUUUUUCUCCCCCCCCCCCCCAUUCUUUCCCUCCGCUAUAAAAAAAAUCCGUCAAGAUUCACAAAUUCAUCCAUCCAGUUCUUCAGCGCUGCUACUGCAAUUUGCAUCUUCAUCGUCUGUUAUUCUUGUUCCAGUGAAACAAAAGAAAUGAUUGAGCUGUUUUUCGCGGUGGCUUUCUCGGCGAUGCCGUUGACACUCUACGUCCCGCCGAUCCGAAGCUUAAACUUGUUCGUCGAGUCGUUGCAGAACCUGCUCCGGCAAACCACCGCCUAUACUCAUCGGGUCUUCCCUCGUCUCCGGACUGCCGUCUCCAGAUUGCUCUCUAACUAUUCCGCCUCUCGCCGGAUGUAGAUUGUAAAAAAGGUUCAGCUUUUCCUUUUCCAGAUUCAACACAUCCAAACCGGCCCUUUAUUUUCUUUGUUAAGAGUAAUUUGACCGCAGGAUGAGUGGGAUUUUGGAUUGAAUACCGAUACUGGCAAAAGCAGAAACAUGUAAGAUUGGUCCAGAAGCUGAUGGUUGCCAGAUGUCAACCUUUAAAUCUUCAUCGACUGGAUAGAUGAAGUGAUAUGUGCCACAGAUUCGGUUGGUGAACUUGAUAGGCCUCGUACAUUCUUGAAAAUUUCAGAAUUCUUGGCAGUCCGUAAGGAACCGCUGACCCAGUUGGCUCAAUGGUCAAGUCUUUUUUGCAAAAUGAAAAAAAAUUAAAGGACUUUUUGAUUUAGUCAGAUCUUUGUAUAUCUACUAGCAUUUUUUUAAAUUUAGUCAUCUAUAUAACUGUUAAUCCCUUUUACAGUCUCUUUAACCUCUUCUCUCUAUAAAAUAGGAUAAAUGUUAUCGUUGCUCAAAACAAAAAACAAAAAAAAAACAACCCAUCAAGGUAUUUGAGAGUCAGUGGAGACCCCUGGAAUAUAUGGACUUCGUUUGGA